rnacentral:tRNA from 2 species
GCGGGUGUAGUUAAGUGGCAUAACGUCUGCCUUCCAAGCAGAGGUCGGGGGUUCGAUUCCCCCCACCCGCA